CUGUUUUAUUUUACAAAGAUACCUAGAUUUUGGGUUUUUUUUUGUUUUUUUCUUAAAUGGUGCUUGGUGUUGAAUGCAAUUUGUAUCAAGUGUUUACAAUGAUUUCUUUCAUUAAAAGUAAUGAAUGGAGAACAGGUGUUAGGAAACAUGGUAAUAAAUUAGAAUAUAAUUUACAAAAAGCAAACAUUUUAGUAACAGUGUACCAAAUUAAUACUGAAUACAAAUUAAUAAGAAACUAAUCACAAUAAUACAAGGGUAAUUUCAUUCUGUAAUGUUAGUGAUAUCUAUAUGAAGAUCCAAUUGAUUAAUAAAGUUCGUAAGGAAAUUGACCAUUUCAAG